GGUGCAUUGUGGAAGUCAACAAGUAAGUUUUGUUAAAUUUGAGUAAGAAGACCUGUUUGUUUCCUCAAGUUGCUUAUAAUCUAGGUGAGGACACAUCUGAGAGAAUAACUAAUAGUUCAGUGAAGUUAAAAACAACAACAACAACAACAAAAACACAAAACCCUGAGGCUCAGAAGAUAAAUAUUUGCUGAAGAUCACUGUGCUUAUUAGAUGGGUGUUACUGAUUCUUACCUCAGAGAAGAGAAUGUCAUGGAGACAAAAUGACCUGCUUAGAGUUCUGCACCCCCCAGCAUGGAGAGCAGAGCGCAAAGAUUUCUUCCGGACUCCCACAUUCCCCUUGGAAUCCAAGAACUGGUCUACUGUCACAACACUUUAGUACCCUCUUAGAUGGGGAUCUCACUCUGUUGCCCAGGCUGGUCUCAAACUCCUGGCUUCAAGCAAUCCUCCUGCUUCGGCCUCCCAAACUUCUGGGAUUACAGAUAUGAGCCACCACGGCUGGCUGACAGGCACCAAAUUCUAGGAGAGGACUUGAAUAGACUCCCAAGGAGGCAGCAGAAACUGGGGUAAUCACAACGGUCAACAGCAGCAAAGGCAGCACUUUCUG
rnacentral:lncRNA from 1 species